rnacentral:snoRNA from 1 species
AGCAGUGAUGAGCUAGAUACAGUCUGACCUGGUAUUGCGACCCAUGUCUGCUCUGACCAGGAGAUGAGCACUUAAUCUUCUCUCUGAGCUG